AAGGACAUCUUGAUGGAUGAUUUCCGCAAACUCCGACUGGAUGCGAAAGAAUUCUUGUCUGAUGUCCGCAUCCUGGAUUGCCGACAAGCGUGCGGCCCAAUAUUUGAGAUUAUUUGGUAGCCGAAGGUGAUUACUGUCCCGUAUGAUCGCCCGCAUGUGAUGGAGGGCGUAGUAGGCAUCCUUCUGACUGCCAGGCGGCUGCUUGACG
rnacentral:lncRNA from 1 species